GCAAAACUCUACGUGGAGGAUAAUUUCCUG
rnacentral:piRNA from 1 species